rnacentral:rRNA from 1 species
AGCAGCCGCGGUAAUUCCAGCUCCAAUAGCGUAUAUUAAAGUUGCUGCAGUUAAAAAGCUCGUAGUUGAAUUUCGGGAUCAAUAUGUUGGUCGUGCCUUGGUACGUACUAGCUCAUUGGUUUCUCCCUUCUGACGAACCAUGAUGUCAUUAAUUUGAUGUCAUGGGGAAUCAGGACUGUUACUUUGAAAAAAUUGAGUGUUUAAAGCAGGCUCGCGCUUGAAUACAUUAGCAUGGAAUAAUGAAAUAGGACAUUUGAUUCUAUUUUGUGGUUUCUAGGAUCGAUGUAAUGAUUAAUAGGGAUAGUUGGGGGCAUUAGUAUUCAAUUGUCAGAGGUGAAAAUUCUUAGGAUUUAUUGAAGACUAACUACUGCGAAAGCAUUUGCCAAGGAUGUUUUC